rnacentral:lncRNA from 1 species
UAUACAUGUCAGACAUGAUUUUAGAUGUAUAAUAGUAAAGUUUGUCCAUUCCGAAAUCUAACUGUGUAGUAAUGGAUUCAGGUGUUGAUGCAAACCUUAUAAAUAAAGUUCAAGACCCCUAUUUCCUAGACGAAAUAGCACAAACAUUCAAAGAUGUUUCGGAAUCAGUUAAGCUAUAUGGGCCAUGGAGUGGCGCAUGGGUUGGGGAAUCUGGAGGUGCUUACAAUAGCGGUGGCAAACAUGUCUCCAAUACCUUUGCUAAUGGUUUUUGGUAUUUGGAUCAGCUGGGAAUGUCCUCCACUUUCGAUCAUAAGGUGUACUGCAGACAAGCUUUGAUCGGAGGAAACUAUGGUCUUCUUAAUACAACUACAUUUGCCCCUAACCCCGAUUACUAUGGGUAAGCAGUCCUUAUAUACAAAUAUGUUUCAGUCUUCAUCCUGACAAUGUUUAAUUGCAAUCUCUCUUUUUUUUAACAGCGCGUUGUUGUGGCAUCGCCUCAUGGGAACUAGAGUUCUUCAAGUUAGUCAUGAUGGAUCUCCUUAUCUACGUUCAUACGCGCAUUGUUCCAAACAUUCUGUGAGUUUAUUCUUAGCUUGGUACAUUUUUUUACAAAUUUUUGGUAAAAGGCAAUGUUUGCGGGAAAUUUGAUAUGUGUUAUUACUUAUGUAUGCAGAAAAGAGGUGACAUAACGGUGCUUCUGAUAAAUAUGUCAAACUCUACCACUUUUAUAGUAAAUACUAGGAAUGAUCUAAAUCUUUACCCAAGUGAACGUACCGUGAGGCUCCCACCAAGAGAAGAGUACCAUCUGACACCAGAAGACGGCAACAUUCAAAGCGAAGUAGUGUUAUUGAACGAUACACCAUUGAAGCUUACAAAGUCGAUGGAUAUCCCAAAUCUGAACCCAGCAUUUGCUUCUCCACUUGAUCCUAUCAAAGUUGCACCUGAUUCUUUUGUCUUUGCAGUCCUAAGAGGUUUUGACGCUCCUGCUUGUUCUUCUUCAUAAGUAGCAGAAGAGACUGCGGUUUUCAUAUGAUUAGUAUAGGAAUCUGCAAAGGUUAAGGCUCGACAAUAUGGAAAAGACAUGAUUGUUCUUAGCAACCUUGUAAAAAGGCUGUAUGCCAACUCUUCUUAUCAGCCAAAGCUAUUGGGUCCUGCUGGCUUCUACGAUCAGGACUGGUUCAAUGAAUUCCUCCAGGUUUCGGGACCAGGAAUUGUUCAUGGUUUAACUCACCAUAUCUACAAUCUUGGUCCAGGUAUACAAUCUAUACAUGUCAGACAUGAUUUUAGAUGUAUAAUAGUAAAGUUUGUCCAUUCCGAAAUCUAACUGUGUAGUAAUGGAUUCAGGUGUUGAUGCAAACCUUAUAAAUAAAGUUCAAGACCCCUAUUUCCUAGACGAAAUAGCACAAACAUUCAAAGAUGUUUCGGAAUCAGUUAAGCUAUAUGGGCCAUGGAGUGGCGCAUGGGUUGGGG